GACGAACGCUGGCGGCGUGCUUAACACAUGCAAGUCGAACGGAAAGGCCCUGCUUUUGUGGGGUGCUCGAGUGGCGAACGGGUGAGUAACACGUGAGUAACCUGCCCUUGACUUUGUGAUAACUUCAGGAAACUGGGGCUAAUACCGGAUAUGAGCUCCUGCUGCAUGGUGGGCGUUGGAAAGUUUCGGCGGUUGGGGAUGUACUCGCGGCUUAUCAGCUUUUUGGUGGGGUAGUGGCUUACCAAGGCUUUGACGGGUAGCCGGCCUGAGAGGGUGACCGGACACAUAGGGACUGAGAUACGGCCCAGACUCCUACGGGAGGCAGCAGUGGGGAAUAUUGCACAAUGGGCGGAAGCCUGAUGCAGCAACGCCGCGUGCGGGAUGACGGCCUUCGGGUGGUAAACCGCUUUCGCCUGUGACGAAGCGUGAGUGACGGUAAUGGGUAAAGAAGCACCGGCUAACUACGUG
rnacentral:rRNA from 1 species